GCCUUCGUGGUGCAGUGGUGAGCACGCUCGACACGUAACCGAGACGUCCGUGGUUCGAAUCUCGGCGAACGCG
rnacentral:tRNA from 1 species